AAGGGGAAAAAGAUUGUAGAAGGAAGAACCUACUGUUUUGUCCUCAAUUUAAAGUCUUUCAAACCUUUUCUACAUCUUGUCACAUGACAAACAUUAAAUUCUGUAUAUUUUAUGGAGGUUUGGUGUUAUAGACCGGUAGAAAAGUAGUGCAUAAUGGAAGUGAAAGAACAAGAAUGAGUGGUUUUCAAACUUCCUCCGAAAAUAAAUCAGAAAAAAUGUGUUGCACGUUUUUAUACUUUCCUCCUGGGUCCAUAAUUGUAGAGUUCCCCAGUCUCUGACUUCAGCUGCAAGUCAUUUGGGGAACAGUAUGUCUCUACGAAGCUUGCAGCUAUCAAUUAUUUUAGUAAUCCAUUAUUCUAGAGAUUUAUUCUGAUUAUAUGUUAAAAGUUUGCACAUUGUGUAAACAAAUGAUUAAAUGGAUGAUUUUUCAUUUAAGAAUUGUUUAUAUCUGUAUACUGGAAAGACAUUAAAAGAUGCAAAUAAACAAUUCAUCCUCUUUUUUUUAAAUCAGAAAAGCAUUCUAUUACCUACAGUGCAAUAAAACAGCAUUCCUCUAAUGAACACUUAAUGAUUUGUAUCAGGAGAUGCAUCUAUAGCUAAAUAAACUACUUCUAUCAUGUGAAAAUCUCGGACCUUUCUGUUUGACUUGACAUCACUAUUGUGUAAAUCUGAUUAAUAAGUGAAAACCAAAAGGUGCUUAAUGGGAUGUUUUCUUUACAGAAUUUAAACCAGGUGAAGUUAAAACGUUGCCACUUGAGGACUUCUGGAUAGAACAUAUUUACAGACAAGAUUUGAAUAGAUACAACUGA